rnacentral:rRNA from 1 species
GGUUGAUCCUGCCAGUAGUCAUAUGCUUGUCUCAAAGAUUAAGCCAUGCAUGUCUAACAUGUCUAAGUAUAAACAACUUUAUACUGUAAAACUGCGAACGGCUCAUUAUAUCAGCAAUAAUUUAUUUGAUGAUUUCUUACUACAUGGAUAACUGUAGUAAUUCUAGAGCUAAUACAUGCGCAAAGUCCAGGGGAGGGAUGUAUUUAUUAGAUACAAAACCAAUGCGGGUUCUGCUCGCCAUUGUGUUGAAUCAUAGUAACUUAUCGGACGCCAUAGCCUUGUGCUGGGCGUA